GGGCCUGUAGCUCAGUGGUAGAGCGGUUCCCUUUUAAGGAAAAGGUCGAUGGUCCGAUCCCAUCCAGGCUCA
rnacentral:tRNA from 1 species